GUGCUUGCUUUGGCAGCACAUAUACUAAAAUUGGAAUGAUACAGAGAAGAUUAGCAUGGCUCCUGCACAAGGAUGGCUUGCAAAUUUGUAAAGUAUUCCAUAUUUCU